GGGGAAUCUUGCGCAAUGGGCGAAAGCCUGACGCAGCAACGCCGCGUGGGGGAUGAAGGCCUUCGGGUUGUAAACCUCUUUCACCAUCGACGAAGCCCUUCGGGGUGACGGUAGGUGGGGAAGAAGCACCGGCUAACUACGUGCCAGCAGCCGCGGUAAUACGUAGGGUGCGAGCGUUGUCCGGAUUUAUUGGGCGUAAAGAGCUCGUAGGCGGUUUGUCGCGUCGGCCGUGAAAACCUACAGCUUAACUGUGGGCUUGCGGUCGAUACGGGCAGACUUGAGUUCGGCAGGGGAGACUGGAAUUCCUGGUGUAGCGGUGAAAUGCGCAGAUAUCAGGAGGAACACCGGUGGCGAAGGCGGGUCUCUGGGCCGAUACUGACGCUGAGGAGCGAAAGCGUGGGGAGCGAAC
rnacentral:rRNA from 1 species